UCAUUCCUCUGUUUCUUCAGUACUUAAUGGGAUGGAGGCAGAAGGGAGAACGUCAUUCUCAGCUACAUUGCUCACUGGAGGCCAACCUGAGCUACACAAGAGCCUAUUUUUAAAAAACAGAAGCUGGGCAGUGGUGUUUCCUUCCUUAAAUUCCAGCACUUGGGUGGCAGAGGCAGGCAGGUUUCUGAGUUGUAGGCAAGUGUGGUUAACAGUGAGUUCCAAAAUAGCUGGGGAGAACCCUGUCUCAAAAAACACAAGUAAGAUAAAAGUACAAAAUAGAACUGUGAGCUGGACCUUAUGGUUGAAUGGAUAAUCCAAGUUCCUAGGCUGAAGUAACCAUUUUUUAAGGCUUCCUUGAGCUACAGAGUGCACGAGAUCAGCCAGGGUAUCUAGAAACCAGACUUAAAAUGGAGGCCCGGGGGGCUGGGGAUUUAGCUCAGUGGUAGAGCGCUUACCUAGGAAGUGCAAGGCCCUGGGUUCGGUCCCCAGCUCCGAAAA
rnacentral:lncRNA from 1 species